AUGGGCGCAGCCUGACGCAGCAACGCCGCGUGCGGGAUGAAGGCCUUCGGGUUGUAAACUGCUUUCGACCGGGACGAUUAUGACGGGACCGGAGGAAGAAACCCCGGCUAACUUCGUGCCCGCAGCCCCGGUAAU
rnacentral:rRNA from 1 species